rnacentral:misc_RNA from 1 species
UCGUCAGCUGAUGGCAGUCGAGUUUCGAGUUUCAACUCGAGUGACGUUUUAACUCGAGUGACAGAAUGAAGUGAAAGAUUCCCGCCUCUUAUUAAUUACUGUUUGUAACUUGUGGAACAAUCGAUUGAUUGAGGCAUUGUUUGCUUGUAGGUUAAACAUUAAACAACAUACGAUUGUCAUACAAGAAUACGAAAUGGAGCCGCAGGAUAUUUAUUAUAACAAAGCCGAAUACGUUGAAACGGCUUCAGGAAAUAAAGUGAGCAGGCUGACAGUACUGUGCGGUUCACAGAAUAUUGUAUUGCAUGGAAAAGUGAUAGUGCAAUCCGAUGCUAUCAUUAGGGGUGAUCUGGCCAAUGUCAGGACUGGUCGCUAUUGCAUAAUCAGCAAGAAUGCGGUCAUUCGACCGCCUUUUAAGAAAUUUAGUAGAGGGGUUGCCUUUUUUCCCUUAACAAUGGGAAACCAUGUGUUUGUGGGAGAGCGGGCCAUUGUAAAUGCAGCACUGGUUGGUUCUUACGUUUAUAUAGGGAAAAAUGCCAUAAUCGGCAGACGAUCAGUCUUAAAAGAUUGUUGCUACAUCGAAGACGGUGCGGUUGUGCCACCUGAGACUAUCGUGCCAUCUUUCACUCGUUAUGCUGGUAGCCCAGCAACAUGUAUCGAAGAGUUACCCGAGUGUACGUUGGAUCUCAUGAUAGACUUUACGAAGAACUAUUACGAACAUUUCUUACCGGCACGAGUUUAAGAGAUAUAUUUGUCCAGGAAUAUACGUGUGGUAGCCUACAAUUUUAAAAGAAUCUAAGACAGUGAAUAAUUGUCGUUGGAGUAUAUCAUGACUAUUUUUGUGAUCAUCUUCGUACAUUUCUUCGACUUAAUGAUGUCGUCCAUAAUGCAGAUUCUUGAUGAGAUGUCAUUACCAUACAUAAUCUUAUAAAAAUACCUAUUACAAGAAACAUUCUCUCUUCUUCACCCAAAUUGAAGGUAUAGAUUUUAAUGAUAUUAGUAUCAAGAAAAUUGAAUCUUGGAGAGCAAAUCGUGAAAAAGUAUAGGAAAGGUCGCUAUUACUUUUCUGUGUGUAACAGUACUUCGGUUAAUACAGAGAAUACUAUUAUCUCAUUCCCGAAUAAUAAUGGUUUAAUGGUAAGAAAAUUCUUUGGUUCCCAAAAAAUGAUUUGAUUGAUUCGAAUGAUUUAUUUGAUUGCCCCUAAUAUGAAAAGCCAUCUAGCAAUAGCACUUCUGCUAUUAAAUCCCGAUAAUCCGUUCCAUCUUUGUACUCAACAAAACAUUUACAGUAAUUACCAAAUUCUUACAAAUAUCCGAAAUAAUAUAUUUGGCAAUUCGGAUAUAUAUAAUAAUGUGUAGUAAUAUAAAUAUUCUGUUAGUUUUUUUACCUAGAUUCAAUUUAGUGAGUUCAAAUUAAUCUUGCUUAGAAUAUAGAUGCGAUUAACAGCAAAAUCAAGUAGAAAUAUAUUAAUCGUCGCGCUAUAGAAAAUGUGUAAUGUAACAGCAGGAGAAAUAGUAGAUGCAAUUGACAUGUUUAACAGGAUCGGCUCCGCAAGAUGAUAUCAAUAUUCUAAUAUGCUCGAAUGUUUCUUAAAGAUAAGAUUCCGGUAAUUGAUUCGAAACAAAUUCGUUAACUAUAAUAGACAAUACGUAUUUAUUAUAUUAUUAAUACAAAAAACUCAAACGUACUUGAAUGUACGUUCCAUCAAAUUUAGAGAAUUUUGGAGUAGUAGUCACUACAAUGCUUGCAAUUCAUAUUCUUUGUCCUUCAGUUUUACUCAUUUGACUUCAGUA